GCAAGUCGAACGAGAUCUUCGGAUCUAGUGGCGCACGGGUGCGUAACGCGUGGGAAUCUACCCUUGGGUUCGGAAUAACAGUUGGAAACGACUGCUAAUACCGGAUGAUGACGUAAGUCCAAAGAUUUAUCGCCCAGGGAUGAGCCCGCGUAAGAUUAGCUAGUUGGUGGGGUAAAGGCCUACCAAGGCUACGAUCUUUAGCUGGUCUGAGAGGAUGAUC
rnacentral:rRNA from 1 species